rnacentral:rRNA from 1 species
UGGGGAAUUUUGGACAAUGGGGGAAACCCUGAUCCAGCCAUCCCGCGUGUGCGAUGAAGGCCUUCGGGUUGUAAAGCACUUUUGGCAGGAAAGAAACGUCAUGGGUUAAUACCCCGUGAAACUGACGGUACCUGCAGAAUAAGCACCGGCUAACUACGUGCCAGCAGCCGCGGUAAUACGUAGGGUGCAAGCGUUAAUCGGAAUUACUGGGCGUAAAGCGUGCGCAGGCGGUUCGGAAAGAAAGAUGUGAAAUCCCAGAGCUCAACUUUGGAACUGCAUUUUUAACUACCGGGCUAGAGUGUGUCAGAGGGAGGUGGAAUUCCGCGUGUAGCAGUGAAAUGCGUAGAUAUGCGGAGGAACACCGAUGGCGGAGGCAGCCUCCUGGGAUAACACUGACGCUCAUGCACGAAAGCGUGGGGAGCAAACAGG